CCCUUAGAUGUCCUGGGCUGCACGCGCGCUACACUGGAAGUUACGGAUUGAGAUACUACCUUGUCCGAAAUGGUCCGGGUAAUCACCUAAAAGCUUGUCAUAAUUGGAAUGGAUUAUUGUAACUAGUAAUCCUGAACGAGGAUUUCCUAGUAAGUCCCAGUCAACAGCUGGUACUGAUUACGUCCCUGCCCUUUGUACACACCGCCCGUCGCUACUACUGAUUGGACGUUUAAGCAAGAUUUUUAAACACUGACAGUGUGUAGUUCACGCUAUACUACAGUGAGAAGAAGAAGAUCGAGCUUACUUGUCUAGAGGAAGUAAAAGUCGUAACA
rnacentral:rRNA from 1 species